GGAAUCUUGCGCAAUGGGCGAAAGCCUGACGCAGCGACGCCGCGUGAGUGAUGAAGGCCUUCGGGUUGUAAAGCUCUGUGGAGAGGGACGAAUAAGGGUUGGCUAACAUCCAGCUCGAUGACGGUACCUCUUUAGCAAGCACCGGCUAACUCUGUGCCAGCAGCCGCGGUAAGACAGAGGGUGCAAACGUUGUUCGGAAUUACUGGGCGUAAAGCGCAUGUAGGCGGUUCGUAAAGUCAGAUGUGAAAGCCCUGGGCUUAACCCAGGAAGUGCAUUUGAAACUCACGAACUGGAGUCCCGGAGAGGAAGGCGGAAUUCUCGGUGUAGAGGUGAAAUUCGUAGAUAUCGAGAGGAACAUCUGCGGCGAAGGCGGCCUUCUGGACGGUGACUGACGCUGAGAUGCGAAAGCGUGGGGAGCAAAC
rnacentral:rRNA from 1 species